rnacentral:rRNA from 1 species
UACGUAGGGUGCAAGCGUUGUCCGGAAUUAUUGGGCGUAAAGAGCUCGUAGGCGGUCUGUCGCGUCGGCUGUGAAAUCCCGAGGCUCAACCUCGGGUCUGCAGUCGAUACGGGCAAACUGGAGUGUUGCAGGGGAGACUGGAAUUCCUGGUGCAGCGGUGAAAUGCGCAGAUAUCAGGAGGAACACCGGUGGCGAAGGCGGGUCUCUGGGCAACAACUGACGCUGAGGAGCGAAAGCGUGGGGAGCGAACAGG